rnacentral:lncRNA from 1 species
UUAAAAUAGCAUAAACCAUUGAAUAAAUAUUAUAAGUUAACUGCCAAUCCCAUUUUUUAUUUUAAAAAUAGUUUGAAGACUCUGAAACAGGAUUUCCCAAAUAAUCUUUCUUGUGCUAUAAUAGGAUUGGUAUAAAAAUGAAUAUAAAGACUGGGGCCCUAACUGUUCAAUGCAUUCAGUUGCCUUUUGGAGAUUUAUUUCCUGUAAUUAGGAACAUCUAUAGAAAAUCAAGAGGAAGGUUUGUUUUGUUUUGUUUUUUGCAGUUCUUUGUUGUUAAUUCUCUGCAUUUUAAAAUUCUUUUUUGUUCAUUGAUGCUAUUAAUUUCCCUGAGCUGGUUGUCUAAUCUUUCAUAAAUGAAAUUCUGGAUAUACAUGUAUAUAUACAUAUAUGUCUCUCUGUGUCUCUCUCUAUAUAUAUAUACAUGCUUAUAUAUGUAUGUAUAUAUGUACAUAUAUACAUAUAUGUGUAUAUAUAUGUAUAAAGAGAAUUAUGUAAAAGUAGUGUUUUCCCCAGCAUAAUUAGAGAAAUUGCAUAAAUCCAAAUGACUUUGCUUCAGGAGAAAAUUAUUGCAUGGAAGCUUAAUGGUUCAAGUACUAGGUUCUUGGUACUCAAGAAGAGCUGGUGGUGAACUGGACGAGCAAAGGGUGAAGGUGAAGAUCAUUCAAGGUUCCAGAGCUGGCCAAGACUGUUGGGGUGGUGUAACUGUUCCUGGAGGGCGGGGUUCCUGUGCAUUCCUACCUCGCUGGAUCACCUGCGCUCAACUCUACUCCAGCUUACUUACAGACGGACUGGACCCUUCACCAAGAAAACGAGCCCAGCCAUCUCACCUGGCAGCAGGACGCUGCGAGGCAUGGACCGAAAAUCACUGGCGUAAAAGUUCCUGGCGCAAAGUGUGGCCCCUACUCGCACAAUCGAGAUUCUUCAUCGGUCAGAACUAUGAUGGUUGAUGGUAUGAGUAUUCAUUUCCCAUCGUAGUAUACUUGCUCUUCACAUUGGUUCUCCUUAUAUGAGCCAGAAGUAUCAAUGGGAAGGAACUCCAACACAGAGGAAAUUACUUGGACCCAGCCAGAAAGUCCAGUCAGGGAAUAAAAGACACUUCCUUCAUUCCUGGUGCA